rnacentral:rRNA from 1 species
AUUGAACGCUGGCGGCAGGCUUAACACAUGCAAGUCGAGCGAGCGGCGGACGGGUGAGUAAUGUCUGGGAAAAUGCCUGAUGGAGGGGGAUAACUACUGGAAACGGUAGCUAAUACCGCAUACCAUCAGAUGUGCCCAGAUGGGAUUAGCUAGUAGGUUGGGUAAUGGCUCACCUAGGCGACGAUCCCUAGCUGGUCUGAGAGGAUGACCAGCCCCACUGGAACUGCGACACGGUCCCUACUCCUCCGGGAGGCAGCAGUGGGGAAUAUUGCCCAAUGGGCGCAAGCCUGAUGCAGCCAUGCCGCGUGUGGGAAGAAGGCCUUCGGGUUGUAAAGCACUUUCAGCGAGUAGGCGUUACUCGCAGAAGAAGCACCUGCUAACUCCGUGCCAGCAGCCGCGGUAAUAC